rnacentral:rRNA from 1 species
AAAAGAACCCCGGGAGGGGAGUGAAAUAGAUCCUGAAACCGCAUACAUACAAACAGUAGGAGCCUCGUUAAGGGGUGACUGCGUACCUUUUGCAUAAUGGGUCAGCGACUUACGUUUAAUGGCGAGCUUAACCGUAUAGGGGAGGCGCAGCGAAAGCGAGUUCGAACAGAGCGUUCAGUCGUUAGGCGUAGACCCGAAACCAGAUGAUCUAUCCAUGGCCAGGUUGAAGGUGUGGUAACACACACUGGAGGACCGAACCGACUAGUGUUGCAAAAUUAGCGGAUGAGCUGUGGAUAGGGGUGAAAGGCUAAACAAAUCUGGAGAUAGCUGGUUCUCCCCGAAAACUAUUGAGGUAGUGCCUCGUGUAUGACUCCAGGGGGUAGAGCACUGUUAUGGCUAGGGGGACAUGGCGUCUUACCAAACCAUGGCAAACUCCGAAUACUUGGAAGUUUGAGCACGGGAGACAGAGCACCGGGUGCUAACGUCCGGACUCAAGAGGGAAACAACCCAGACCGCCGGCUAAGGUCCCUAAUAUUGACUAAGUGGAAAACGAAGUGGAAAGGCUAAGACAGUCAGGAAGUUGGCUUAGAAGCAGCCAUCCUUCAAAGAAAGCGUAAUAGCUCACUGAUCGAGUCUUUCUGCGCGGAAGAUGUAACGGGGCUAAGUCAAUAACCGAAGCCGCGGAUUCACACUUAUGUGUGAGUGGUAGGGGAGCGUUCUGUAAGCCUGCGAAGGUGACUCGUAAGGGUUGCUGGAGGUAUCAGAAGUGCGAAUGCUGACAUGAGUAACGUUAAAGCGGGUGAAAAGCCCGCUCGCCGUAAGCCCAAGGUUUCCUGCUCUACGUUCAUCGGAGCAGGGUGAGUCGGCCCCUAAGGUGAGGCUGAGAAGCGUAACUGAUGGGAACAAGGUUAAUAUUCCUUGACCACCGCUGAAUGCGAAGGGGGGACGGAGUAUUGAAGAUCAUCCGGGUGUUGGAUAUCCCGGUUUGCGAGCGUAGGAGGCUGACAGGCAAAUCCGUCAGCGAAUCUCCGAGGCAAAGCAUCGAGCUCUCUUUUGAGCGAAGUGAUUGGAUGUGCUUCCAGGAAAAGCCUCUAAGCUCCAGUUCAGCGGGACCGUACCGCAAACCGACACUGGUGGGCGAGCUGAAUAUGCUCAGGCGCUUGAGAGAACUCAGGAGAAGGAACUCGGCAAAUUGACACCGUAACUUCGGGAUAAGGUGUGCCUUUGUAGCGUGGAGGGAGAAACACCCCGAGCGCGAAGAGGUCUCAGAUAAUCGGUGGCUGCGACUGUUUAUUAAAAACACAGCACUCUGCAAAGACGAAAGUCGACGUAUAGGGUGUGAUGCCUGCCCGGUGCUGGAAGAUUAAUUGAUGGGGUGCAAGCUCCUGAUCGAAGUCCCAGUAAACGGCGGCCGUAACUAUAACGGUCCUAAGGUAGCGAAAUUCCUUGUCGGGCAAGUUCCGACCUGCACGAAUGGCAUAACGAUGGCCACACUGUCUCCUCCUGAGACUCAGUGAAGUUGAAGUGUUUGUGAUGAUGCAAUCUCCCCGCGGCUAGACGGAAAGACCCCAUGAACCUUUACUGUAGCUUUGCAUUGGACUUUGAACCGAUCUGUGUAGGAUAGGCGGGAGCCUGUGAAACCACAACGCCAGUUGUGGCGGAGGCGUCCUUGAAAUACCGCCCUGAUUUGUUUGAGGUUCUAACCUGGGACAGUCAUCCUGUCCGGGGACCGUGCAUGGUAGGCAGUUUGACUGGGGCGGUCUCCUCCUAAAGGGUAACGGAGGAGUGCGAAGGUACGCUAGGUACGGUCGGAAAUCGUGCUGAUAGUGCAAUGGCAAAAGCGUGCUUGACUGCGAGACCCACAAGUCGAGCAGAUACGAAAGUAGGUCAUAGUGAUCCGGUGGCUCUGUAUGGAAGGGCCAUCGCUCAACGGAUAAAAGGUACUCUGGGGAUAACAGGCUGAUACCGCCCAAGAGUUCAUAUCGACGGCGGUGUUUGGCAC